rnacentral:rRNA from 1 species
AGUGAACGCUGGCGGUAGGCCUAACACAUGCAAGUCGAACGGCAGCACAGUAAGAGCUUGCUCUUACGGGUGGCGAGUGGCGGACGGGUGAGGAAUACAUCGGAAUCUACUUUUUCGUGGGGGAUAACGUAGGGAAACUUACGCUAAUACCGCAUACGACCUACGGGUGAAAGCAGGGGAUCUUCGGACCUUGCGCGAUUGAAUGAGCCGAUGUCGGAUUAGCUAGUUGGCGGGGUAAAGGCCCACCAAGGCGACGAUCCGUAGCUGGUCUGAGAGGAUGAUCAGCCACACUGGAACUGAGACACGGUCCAGACUCCUACGGGAGGCAGCAGUGGGGAAUAUUGGACAAUGGGCGCAAGCCUGAUCCAGCCAUACCGCGUGGGUGAAGAAGGCCUUCGGGUUGUAAAGCCCUUUUGUUGGGAAAGAAAGGCAGCAGGUUAAUACCCCGCUGUUCGGACGGUACCCAAAGAAUAAGCACCGGCGAACUUCGU